rnacentral:tRNA from 1 species
UCCCAUGUGGUGUAGUGGUCAACAUCAUGGACUUAAACUCCAGUGCCCCGAGUUCAACCCUCGGCAUGGGAU